AUGGAUGCUCACGCUCCCCCUGCAGCUCCAUCUGCACCUCUAGACCUGUCUCUCAUGCUGGCCCCCAUGUCUCCUAAGGCUGUUCUUCCUUCUGGCUGCUGGCGCCGCCGCGGUGGUGGGAGUGGGAGAUCAAGACUCUUUUCUUGCCUCUUCUGCGAGAGGAAAUUCCUCAAGUCGCAGGCGCUAGGGGGCCACCAGAACGCGCACCGUAAGGAGUGGGUCGUCGGCACCUGGAACGCCCACCUCUAUCUCCCUGACCACCCUCGUGCUCCGGCGCCGGCCACCGCAACGGCAUACCUUGAUGAUGACGACAACGACGGCAAGUACCAAAAGCUUGAUCUUAGCCUCAAGCUUUAA
rnacentral:rRNA from 1 species